rnacentral:rRNA from 1 species
GACGAACGCUGGCGGCGCGCUUAACACAUGCAAGUCGAACGGUGAACGGGGCUUCGGCCCCCGGAUCAGUGGCGAACGGGUGCGUAACACGUGGGCAACCUGCCCCUCACUCUGGGAUAACCCCGGGAAACCGGAGCUAAUACCGGAUACUCCGAACGGAUCGCAUGGUCCGGUCGGGAAAGGUCCGCCGGUGAGGGAUGGGCCCGCGGCCUAUCAGCUUGUUGGUGAGGUAACGGCUCACCAAGGCCACGACGGGUAGCUGGUCUGAGAGGACGACCAGCCACACUGGGACUGAGAUACGGCCCAGACUCCUACGGGAGGCAGCAGUGGGGAAUCUUGCACAAUGGGCGAAAGCCUGACGCAGCGACGCCGCGUGGGGGAUGAAGGCCCUCGGGUUGUAAACCCCUUUCGGCAGGGACGAAGCGGUUCCGUGACGGUACCUGCAGAAGAAGCCUCGGCUAACUACGUGCCAGCAGCCGCGGUAAUAC